rnacentral:rRNA from 1 species
UACGGAGGGUGCAAGCGUUGUCCGGAUUUAUUGGGUCUAAAGGGUGCGUAGGCGGUUUGUUAAGUCAGUGGUGAAAGACGGCAGCUCAACUGUCGCAGUGCCAUUGAUACUGGCGAACUUGAAUAUCGAUGAGGCUGGCGGAAUUGGUGGUGUAGCGGUGAAAUGCGCAGAUAUCAGGAGGAACACCGGUGGCGAAGGCGGGUCUCUGGGCCGUAACUGACGCUGAGAAGCGAAAGCAUGGGGAGCGAACAGG